GGGCGCGUAGCUCAGCUGGUCAGAGCACCUCGUUUACACCGAGGGGGUCCGCGGUUCGAAUCCGUGCGCGCCCACCA
rnacentral:tRNA from 1 species